UACAGCCAUAUAGCGUUGAACACACCUGUUCCCGUACGGUCACCGAAGUUAAACAACGUUGAGCUUGGUCAGUACCUAAAUUGGUGACCACUUGGGAAUACGAGGUGCUGUAAG